rnacentral:lncRNA from 1 species
AUGAAGAUAGGUAGAUGGGUUGUCUUGCCAAUUUAUUUUAAGGGCUUUCAUUAUCGAGGUGAAUGGUUUAUGUAAUGUGUUCUAAAAGUUCUUAUUUUGUGAUAAAAUAUGAAAACCAUGAAUUAUCGUGGAUUUGUUCUAUUUACAAUUAUCUCUCUAUUUCAAGUCAAGCAUGUCUAAUUUGGAGCAAUCUUUCACACUAUAUAUAUUGGAAUAUUUGUGAAAUAUGUAUUAUUCAUAGAACAUGAGAACUUAAAUGUUGGGGUAUCAGAGGGAUAGAUGUACCACACGGGGACAUAGGGUAGUAAGGCCAAUAGAGGUCACGUGGUUAGUUACAUGCUAUGAAGGAUAACCGAGAUAUGAAGGGAUGAUGUGAUAUGAUCUGGAUUGGUGUAUCUUUUCAUGAUAUUUUCUAAAGUGUGUAAAACAGCAUUGCUUGACUAGCAUAUUACAUAAUCUACUCACUGAGCAGUGGUUGCUCAUCAUUCACCCUAUUUAAUUUUUCAGAUGUAUUAGUGGGCAAGACAAGGACUAAAUCGGUUGAGGCUGAAUUAGAUGAGAGUGAUAGAGCUUUAUUUAUUUUUAUUGUAAAGUUGUAA